rnacentral:rRNA from 1 species
GAUGAACGCUGGCGGCGUGCCUAAUACAUGCAAGUCGAGCGAACAGACGAGGAGCUUGCUCCUCUGACGUUAGCGGCGGACGGGUGAGUAACACGUGGAUAACCUACCUAUAAGACUGGGAUAACUUCGGGAAACCGGAGCUAAUACCGGAUAAUAUAUUGAACCGCAUGGUUCAAUAGUGAAAGACGGUUUUGCUGUCACUUAUAGAUGGAUCCGCGCCGCAUUAGCUAGUUGGUAAGGUAACGGCUUACCAAGGCAACGAUGCGUAGCCGACCUGAAAGGGUGAACCGCCACCCUGGAACUGAGACACGGUCCAGACUCCUACGGGAGGCAGCAGUAGGGAAUCUUCCGCAAUGGGGGAAAGCCGGACGGAGCAAAGCCGCGUGAGUGAUGAAGGUCUUAGGAUCGUAAAACUCUGUUAUUCGGGAAGAACAAAUGUGUAAGUAACUAUGAACGUCUUGACGGUACCUAAUCAGAAAGCCACGGCUAACUACGUG